AUGAAGCUGGAAUCGCUAGUAAUCGCGGAUCAGAAUGCCGCGGUGAAUACGUUCCCGGGUCUUGUACACACCGCCCGUCACACCAUGGGAGUUGGAAAUGCCCGAAGUCAGUGGCCCAACCGCAAGGAGGGAGCUGCCGAAGGCAGGUUCGAUGACUGGGGUGAAGUCGUAACAAGGUACC
rnacentral:rRNA from 1 species